CCGGGAACUUAGCAGAGAUGCUUUGGUGCCUUCGGGAACUCUGAGACAGGUGCUGCAUGGCUGUCGUCAGCUCGUGUUGUGAAAUGUUGGGUUAAGUCCCGCAACGAGCGCAACCCUUAUCCUUUGUUGCCAGCGGUUAGGCCGGGAACUCAAAGGAGACUGCCAGUGAUAAACUGGAGGAAGGUGGGGAUGACGUCAAGUCAUCAUGGCCCUUACGAGUAGGGCUACACACGUGCUACAAUGGCGCAUACAAAGAGAAGCGACCUCGCGAGAGCAAGCGGACCUCAUAAAGUGCGUCGUAGUCCGGAUUGGAGUCUGCAACUCGACUCCAUGAAGUCGGAAUCGCUAGUAAUCGUGGAUCAGAAUGCCACGGUGAAUACGUUCCCGGGUCUUGUAACACACCGA
rnacentral:rRNA from 1 species